rnacentral:rRNA from 1 species
GACGAACGCUGGCGGCGUGCCUAAUACAUGCAAGUCGAACGCUGAAGAGAGGAGCUUGCUCUUCUUGGAUGAGUUGCGAACGGGUGAGUAACGCGUAGGUAACCUGCCUUGUAGCGGGGGAUAACUAUUGGAAACGAUAGCUAAUACCGCAUAACAAUGGAUGACACAUGCCAUUUAUUUGAAAGGGGCAAUUGCUCCACUACAAGAUGGACCUGCGUUGUAUUAGCUAGUAGGUGAGGUAAUGGCUCACCUAGGCGACGAUACAUAGCCGACCUGAGAGGGUGAUCGGCCACACUGGGACUGAGACACGGCCCAGACUCCUACGUGAGGCAGCAGUAGGGAAUCUUCGGCAAUGGGGGCAACCCUGACCGAGCAACGCCGCGUGAGUGAAGAAGGGUUUCGGAUCGUAAAGCUCUGUUGUAAGUCAAGAACGGGUGUGAGAGUGGAAAGUUCACACUGUGACGGUAGCUUACCAGAAAGAGACGGCUAACUACGUG